AUGGUGACGGGAAUCUUACUGUCACUUCUCUUGAUGCUGGGAGGUUUUGACACCGAGACCGCAUCCAACCCAAAGGUCAGUAGGAAAUCCAGCUGCUGUGGCAAAGACCCGCAGAGGUGCAAUCAGCGAUGGCACACUGGAAGGACGCAGACACACAAUCAGAAAAAAAGUGAAGCGUUGAGGAGUUUAGACCUAGAGCACUUCAAAAUAGAUGUGGUCCCGACCACAAGUGAAACGAGCCUCCCUGCCGCUGUUGGGCUCCACCCUCCUGAUGCAAAACCCCUCCACCUGCUCAAAAACAUGCCCCAACGCUUUGGUAGACAAAGUGUUCCUGAUGAUGCAAAGUCACCUCCCAACAGCCCCCAAAGGUUUGGAAGAUCCUCGGAGGUGAUCCCAAAAUGUGCCAAGUGUGUCGGAGAGAUUCUGAAUCCAGAAGCACGUCAAAGAUGGACAAGAAACAUUCUGUGUUGGAGGCUUCUUCGAACAUUAACCAGUGCCAAGUUGUGGGAGACUUGCAAUGGUAGGAAAAUCUAAAGGCUAUUCAUCACAUUUUUCUGUUAAAAAAGAAUGUUUUUAUCCAGCACUGUCUUCAAGUUUCUGACUUGUGGAAAACAUUCUGCUCAUUAGUUUACAAACCCUGGCAGAAUUUGUAAGAGAUUCACUUUUCGUGAAAUUAAACAUUUAUAUCAUCAUUGAUUAUAUGAACCAGCCAACUCAAUUUAGUCUAAAUAACAUGCUUGAAAAUAUUUGGUCUUAACUUAAAGGUCUGUUUGAAUGUUAUUUUGAAUCUGUUCCUUUUAGCGUAUAUACUGUAAACCUAUAUACACAUUAACAAAUUACUUUUUCCCUAAAGGUUUGAAGAGUUUCACUUCAGCUCUCAAGAAAUGGAGAUGCAGACAAAAAGACUCCAAGAAAUCAUGUAAAUGAUGCAGAGUUUUAGUGCAAGUGUAAUCAUUAAAUCAUAGUAAGAGGCUCUGGGUAAAGUUAUAUCAUUGUGAUAUAAAUAAAGUUGAUAACAGUAUUAAACAGUCUGAAAUACUUUUUGCAGGCGUUGAUGACUGAGGCACAAUUGCAGUUGUAUUUUUUUAUUUAUUUUUUGUUAUGGCCCAUUUUCUUUCAUAUGAACCAUCCGUUGAUGCCUUCGAAAAUAGUUGCUUUUGCUUCCCUCUGCUGGUUAAUAAAAAUAAUGCUGCAAAAUAUAACAAUAGCGCUAGGGUAGUGUUAGGUACACAACUGGAUGUACAGGUACUUCCUUCUUGUGACAUUGACAGACUAGUCCAGUAAACGUGUAUAUUUUCCCUUUUUUGUCUUAGUGUCUUAUCUGUAGCAAGAUAAAUUUGCUCGCUAACUUUGUAGCAUUUUGUGUUUGUCGAACAUCCCCCGAAUUAACGGGAGACAGCCAACUUCUUCUGAGUCGGUUUACAUUUGAACAUGUUGCGCAGGUUCUUUUCACUUAAAAAUCGAUGUAAUUGGCUUGGAAACUUACUUCAAAUGUAACCAAUUAUCCACCAUCGCCCCAGAACGCCUCAAGCUAGAUUGCAUGCCGCCGGCAACAGACAGGUGGCAAGUCCCCAAAUAUGACGUCAUAAUAAUGCGGAAGAGCUUCGAUUUGAAACAGGUAAAUAAUUACCGGUAGUGACUUUGUAAAAUAAUGUAUUAUUAAUAAUAUUUUGUAUUAGUAGUAGCAGUAGUAUUAAUUUAAAAUUAACUUUCACCUGGCCGAGUCAACCUGACAGACACUCUCCUGAAAUAUGAGACGGUUAGUUUUGGAGGGUUGGAUGACGUCAGAAAAAAAAGUCUUGCAAUUUGAGACGGGUGGUGCCACUUCUGUCAAGUUCAGGCUGCGAAGAGAAAGUGCGGCUAUGGGGGACGUUGCGAAAGGGAAGAAGGUGUUUACAUUGAAAUGUGCCCAGUGUCACACUGUGGAGGAAGGAGGAAAACACAAAGUGGGGCCGAACCUGUGGGGUCUGUUUGGCAGGAAGACAGGACAAGCGCCCGGGUUUUCUUAUACACAGGCAAAUAUUGACAAAGG